CCUACGGGUGGCAGCAGGGAGGAAUAUUGGUCAAUGGACGAGAGGCUGAACCAGCCAAGUCGCGUGAGGGAAGACGGCCCUACGAGUUGUAAACUUCUUUUGUCGGGGAGCAAACGGAACCACGCGUGGUUCUUUGAGAGUAACCGACGAAAAAGAAUCGGCUAACUCCGUGCCAGCAGCCGCGGUAAUACGGAGGAUGCAAGCGUUAUCCGGAUUUAUUGGGUUUAAGGGGUGCGCAGGCGGAGGUGCAAGUCAGCGGUCAAAUCCCGGGGCUCAACCCCGUACUGCCGUUGAAACUGCAUCCCUUGAGUGCACGAGAAGUAGGCGGAAUGUGUGGUGUAGCGGUGAAAUGCAUAG
rnacentral:rRNA from 1 species